AGUGAACGCUGGCGGUAGGCCUAACACAUGCAAGUCGAACGGCAGCACAGUAAGAGCUUGCUCUUACGGGUGGCGAGUGGCGGACGGGUGAGGAAUACAUCGGAAUCUACUUUUUCGUGGGGGAUAACGUAGGGAAACUUACGCUAAUACCGCAUACGACCUACGGGUGAAAGCAGGGGAUCUUCGGACCUUGCGCGAUUGAAUGAGCCGAUGUCGGAUUAGCUAGUUGGGGGGGUAAAGGCCCACCAAGGCGACGAUCCGUAGCUGGUCUGAGAGGAUGAUCAGCCACACUGGAACUGAGACAAGGUCCAGACUCCUACGGGAGGCAGCAGUGGGGAAUAUUGGACAAUGGGCGCAAGCCUGAUCCAGCCAUACCGCGUGGGUGAAGAAGGCCUUCGGGUUGUAAAGCCCUUUUGUUGGGAAAGAAAAGCAGCAGGUUAAUACCCCGCUGUUCUGACGGUACCCAAAGAAUAAGCACCGGCUAACUUCGUG
rnacentral:rRNA from 1 species